rnacentral:rRNA from 1 species
AAAUAGAACUUUGCAGAGAGAGUUAAGAGGGCGUGAAACCGUUAAUUGGCAAACGAAUCGGAGCCACGAAGUCGUUUCGUCGAGUUGGAUCGAGUUCAGUUUGCAAGAGAUUGCAGGCGUAUUCUCGUGUCUGACCAAUGUAAGCGUACACUGCAACCAGUUAGACAAUUGCUCAUGGAACCAGCUAGUAAAGUUAGUAGUUGUGGGCAGCAGCUUGCUGUUGUUUGCAGCUGAGCUAGACUAAGUGAACUAUGAGCAAAUACUGACUGGCAAAUUGAAAAUCGUGCGAAAGCGCGUGCUCAAAUAGCAUCUCAUUGUAUAGUAGACUACACAAUCCACCGCGAGCAUAUUAAAGUUCGGUAUUUUUGAAUUUGGACUUGCUAGCUACCAAUGGGGCAACUCUUGGUGCUAGUAUAGCUUUCCAUCUAAUCGGGUGCUGGCUUGUGCUAGCGUCGAUGUGGUUGUGCUACGAUUGGUUUGUUGUACAAUUGGGAAUGUGUAUAUUGGCAGUGAGUAGGUCGGCUUUCCGAACGACCCGUCUUGAAACACGGACCAAGGAGUCUAAUUAAGCAUCGAGUCGAUCGGUCUUGAAUAGGCCAGAUAUGUUAGACUUAGCGAAAUGAAGGCGUAGAGACAUGUGAUCCCAGUUCCAAAAGAUCUGUUGGCGCAACAUGUGCCUGUUCAAAGGAAUGUUAACAAAAUUCCUGGCGGAGCAAAGAGAUGCUUGAUUGGUACCCGAAAGAUGGUGAGCUUGGGCAAAUUGAAGCCAGAGGAAACUCUGGUGGAGGAUUGUAGCGAUUCUGACGUGCAAAUCGAUCGUCAGACCUGAGUAUAGGGGCGAAAGACUAAUCGAACCAUC